rnacentral:rRNA from 1 species
AAUUGAAGGGUUUGAUCCUGGCUCAGAAUGAACGUUGGCGGCGUGGAUUAGGCAUGCAAGUCGAGCGAGAAGGAUCCGGUGCUUGCACUGGAUCUGGACAGCGGCGAAAGGGAGAGUAACGCGUAGGGUAUCUGCCCCCAGGCCUGGGAUAGCGGCGGGAAACUGCCGGUAAUACCGGAUAAUGUCCCCGGACCAAAGGUGAGAUUCCGCCUGGGGAUGGCCCUGCGUCCUAUUAGCUUGUUGGUGAGGUAAUGGCUCACCAAGGCGAAGAUGGGUAGCGGGCGUGAGAGCGUGGCCCGUCUCACUGGGACUGAGACACUGCCCAGACACCUACGGGUGGCUGCAGUCGAGAAUCUUCCGCAAUGGACGAAAGUCUGACGGAGCGACGCCGCGUGCGGGAUGAAGGCCUUCGGGUUGUAAACCGCUGUCAGUGGGGUGGAAAUCUUUGAGGGCUAUCCCUCUUAGUUGACCUAACCGCAGAGGAAGUCCGGGCUAAGUACGUGCCAGUAGCCGCGGUAAUACGUACCGGACAAACGUUAUUCGGAAUCACUGGGCUUAAAGAGUGCGUAGGCGGCUUAACAGGUGGGGUGUGAAAUCCCACGGCUCAACCGUGGAAUUGCGCUCCAAACCGUUAGGCUUGAGGGAGACAGGGGUGAGCGGAACUGAUGGUGGAGCGGUGAAAUGCGUUGAUAUCAUCAGGAACACCGGUGGCGAAGGCGGCUCACUGGGUCUCUUCUGACGCUGAGGCACGAAAGCUAGGGUAGCGAACGGGAUUAGAUACCCCGGUAGUCCUAGCUGUAAACGAUGAGCACUAGAUCGUGGGGACUUCCACAUCCUCUCGGUCGUAGCGAAAGUGUUAAGUGCU